ensembl:lncRNA
UUGUUGUGCUUUUGUCAUAAUGAUGAUGAACUAUUUAGCUGCAGCUCAAGAACCCCAAACAGACCGCAAUGACUCUUGAUAAGAAGAGGAUCUUCUGCUGAACCUAAAGAACCACUGAAGAAGCUUGAUUUUUGAAUGUGCUUUCAUAGAGACAGGUGUGAUUUAGCAGCGACAUGCAAUGAUACAAAUAUUUGCUAGAGUAUGUAACAAUCCUCCAAAGAGUGUGUGUGUGUGUGUGUGUGUGUGUGCGUGUGUGAGAGAGAGAAAUAGAGAGUCAUAGGUAAAAUUCAAUAGAAUAACAGCUCAUCUGCCCCAUAAUUCUCUCUCUCUCUCUCUCUCUCUCUCUCUCUCUCUCUCUCUGGAUGAGUGUGGACAAUAGUCUCAGCAGUGGCCUCUGAUUGCCUCUUUUCACAUGUUAAUGAGCAUCUCUGCGUUCCUCCUCUUUCUCAAAUCUCCACAAAUUAUACAGCAAACACAGAAAAGGAAAAUCCUACGGCUUUUUUUAUUCAACAAACUGACAUGUAAAUGCGAGUGUAAGUGUUGUCCUCCGCUGCUCUGAUCGGCAGCUAAUUGUAGCCGUCAAUUGUAUAAGAUGCUCUUUUACUUCAACACAAGCCCGGAUCAAACACAAUCAACUCUCCCGCCUGAGAGAGAGAGAGAGAGAGAGAGAGAGAGAGACGGUUGUGUUCGUUGUCACGGUGAUGACUGCAUUUAUUCGCAUCACACGUUUGAAUAUAAAUAUUUGUUGAUUUGCUCAUUUUGCUUCUGGCUGAGAUCUGAACGCUGUCGAGGGUCUUAAAUGAGUGUUUUGAAGCACUGCUGUCUGUCUGAACGUGACGGAAAAGAAAGACAGACAGAAGAGUAUUCACGAAUAUUCACAACUCAACACUCGAGUAUUUUAUUGCAUUCACAACAGUUAGUACUUGAUGAACAUAUUAAGGACAUAAAUAUUUAUGCAGAUUCAAAUUUAUUUAGUAUUUAUGCAAAUAUGUGAAGCGGCAUCCAGUCAGUGUCAUGUUGUCAUAUUGUGUAUUGCACGAGUGAUUGACCAAUCAGCAUCCAGGAGGGGAAGGGUCUGUUUUAUAAUGCACUUUUAUGUUGUUUAUUUAUCACAUAUUAUGACAUUUGACAUUGCAUUUGAUAGUGAAUCAUUUGAUUUUUGUAAUAUAAAGCAGUAUACUCUUCCUCACAGCAGAUUUUAAAAUAGAAACAGGAAAAUGUGAAGAAUCACUCACACACACACACACACACACACACACACGUACCGCGUCUCUGAUCCGGCGCACUUCCACAAGAGGGCCGAAUCCUGCAGGAGAAAGUCACGUUUUAUUUCAUAGGAUAAAUUAAAUUUCACACCCCUGUGAAGUUUAUACAGCACAUAGCAGCAGAUUUUUACAAGAUUCAUAUGCAAAUGUGUGUCGAGAUUAGAGAUACAACAAUUAUUCCGGUUCAUGAUAAAUUAUUCAUUUAACAACCGUCAAUUAUUAAUUCCACAGAAACAAUAAGCUGUGUUUCUGUAGGCAGAGUUUCCUAUUUUAACAGACCUUUACCUCUCUCUCUCUCUCUCUCUCUCUCUCUCUCUGUGAACUCUGUCAGAAUUAAUCGUGAAUGUUUUCCAUUUUCUUCUCUGCCUCAGAAAGCCAGAGCAUCAAAAUAGUUAAAAAUGUUGUGAAUGUCGCACUGCUACUUUAACCUCACUGGAGACCUGACCUCUUUACUGAGAGAUGCUCAGAAUCAUCGCUCUCUUCGCCGAGCGUCUCUCGUUCGAUGUGUGCAAAUGAAGAGAAUCUGCUAAUAAUCAGAUCACUAGUGUUCAGAGUCCUUCCUCUGCACAGAACAAGUGCUACAUGUGAAAAUCAAUAGCUAUUUGAUGCAUACGGCAUCUGUAGCUGCGCAGUCAGUAGCCCAGCAUGCUUUUAUAUACAGUAGACUGAAGCCGUAUGAGCGCAGGAGCCUGCGGCUACAGCACAACAACUCAGCUCAUAUGUUUGAGAGACUUUGAAAUCACUCUCUCUGCUAACUCUGCACUAUAAUUGUCCAUCAAUCUGCCAUGCUUCUCCUUUUCUUUUCUUUUGUCUGUGCGUGUGAGAUACGCUCACCAUGUACAGCUGUCAUUCACAUUAAAAUGCGUCUGUGAAUGGAACAGGUUUGUUGGGUAAAUGCAUAAUUAAUAAGUACAGAUGAGAAAUCACUACCGCAUGUAAUGCAUGUGCAUGCAUGCUGUAUUUGCACAGAGGUGGAUCCGUGAAGAGUCGGACAGGCUUUUUGGCUGGCGAUGUACUCGCACACAUGAAGAUGUGAUAAUUAUGCUAAUGAAAUACAUGGCUGUAACUCUAUUACUGUUGUGUGCGGAGCAGUGCGGUUUAUAAUGACUAUGAAAAUAAACUAGCAACACAGGACAGGGACCCCAGCAGUUCAUACAGGAAAAUUACAUGUAUACUGA